rnacentral:rRNA from 1 species
UACGUAGGUGGCAAGCGUUGUCCGGAUUUAUUGGGCGUAAAGGGCGCGCAGGCGGUUCGUCAAGUCCGAGGUGAAAUCUCCCGGCCUAACUGGGAGGGGUCUUCCGGAUACUGGCGGACUUGGAGGAGAGGCAGAGGUGAGCGGAAUUCUCGGUGUAGUGGUGAAAUGCGUAGAUAUCGAGAGGAACACCAGCGGCGAAGGCGGGACUCCACU